UAAACCGGGCGGGUGGCUGGCGGCCACGCGGGCUCCGGGAGUGGCGGUCGCUCUGGAGAUCCUCUGGCUGCUUUGUAGAGAAUAACGAAUGAUGGAGGCAGAACCAUUAGGAGGCCUGUGAUAUUUCUGAGAAGAGAUGCUGGUGAUGUCGGAUGAUGGCCAUGAAAACGGGGCAAGAGUGGACAGAUUUGACAGCAAAAUUGCAGAUGUACUUGCAAGAGAGGUAAUGCACCUGUUUACCAGCACCGAGACUAAGGAGUAGAACAUGAUCAACAUCCCAGGAAUGGUCCUCCUGUUCUCCUCAGUCACUGCCCGCACCAAGGAUAACUAACUGUUCUGACUUCUAACAUCAUGGAUGAGCUUUGCUUGUUAAGGAACUGUAAAUAAACAA